AUUUAAAAUGUAACUUAUAUAUAAUGUUAACAUUAUUUUCCAUGACAUUGAUAUAAGUAAUGUAUUUAAAUCAUCUGUUUGAAGAUAUUGUAAUUAAAACUUGUAGUUUAUAUCUAUGUGUAGAAGAACAUGAAAAAAUGCAGUGGCGUGAUUGAUUGUCGUUUAUCCUGAAGAAGUCGCCAAUUUUUAACUACUUACGCUAAGUCGCCAAUUUUUAAAUACUUACGCUAAGUCGUAAUUUGAUGAUUGAAAUAAAAAUUGAACAUAUGAUACCGAAAAUUACAUUAAAAGCUUCCAAGAUGUUAAACAACGUGAUGUAGGGUUGCCACCUUUUUGAGUUCGAACCAAAAACUCCGGAUUUUGAAGAUUUAUGUCCGAGUUUGGAUUUCGUUACUUCUCCAGGUUGCAUAAAAUAUCUUAUGAAAAAACGUCUUAUGUAGUUUUUAAUGAAAAAAAUUCCUUGAAUGUACGGCAUUGGAAAAAAACUAAGAAGGGCGUUUCGAAUAAGAUGUAUACAUUACGAUGUUAUAUUUAUCGAUGAACUGUUAAGAAUUUUAUGAAUUUAUCAAGAAAUUUAAAAAUAUGGAGCUUGUUAAAACUGCAAAUAUUUA
rnacentral:misc_RNA from 1 species